UACAGAGGUGGCAAGCGUUGUUCGGAAUUACUGGGCGUAAAGGGCGCGUAGGCGGUCUUGCAAGUCCCGUGUGAAAUCCCUCGGCUCAACUGAGGAACUGCACGGGAAACUGCUUGGCUUGAGUUCGGGAGAGGGAAGCGGAAUUCCGGGUGUAGCGGUGAAAUGCGUAGAUAUCAGGAGGAACACCGGUGGCGAAGGCGGGUCUCUGGGCCGUAACUGACGCUGAGGAGCGAAAGCAUGGGGAGCGAACAGG
rnacentral:rRNA from 1 species